rnacentral:rRNA from 1 species
UACAGAGGGUGCGAGCGUUAAUCGGAAUUACUGGGCGUAAAGCGCGCGUAGGCGGCUUUGCAAGUCGGGUGUGAAAUCCCCAGGCUUAACCUGGGAACUGCAUUCGAGACUGCAUUGCUAGAGUAUGGGAGAGGGAAGUGGAAUUUCCGGUGUAGCGGUGAAAUGCGUAGAUAUCGGGAGGAACACCUGUGGCGAAGGCGGCCGACUGGGCCGACCCUGACGCUGAGGCGCGAAGGCGUGGGGAGCGAACGGG